ACUUGGGAACAGUGAGAUCAUGACCUGAGCUGAAGGUGGGCACGCAGCUGACUGAGCCACCCAGGCACCCCUGUGACUUUCCUAAACCAAUAUUGCUGAGACCUUGCAGCUUCUGCUGUCACUCUCUUAGAACAUUGCUACCAUUUUCUGAAGAAGUCCAGCUGGAAAGAGACAGCCAGAAAUCCCAGCUGAGGCUCCAGACAUGUCACUGAGGCCACCAUUAGCCAAUCAGUCAAGCUGCCAGUUAACCGCAGCUUGUUUCAGUUAACCGCAGCCACUAAGUGAGUCCAGCUUGGGGACCUGGCCUUCUCCAGUCAGCCCUGACACCUGUCUUGUCACAGGCAGGCUCAGCCAGUGUGCACGGCACCUGGUACUGCUCUCCAGGGCCCUCCAGCUUGGGCCCACCCAUGCCCGCAGGUGGCUGUAUUAUUGCCGAAGUUUCAGAUCUCACGCUUUGAUCCUCAACGUGCUUGAAGAGUAUCAACUCAUUAGCUUCACUGUCUGAAAAUAAGGGCUUUCCCCAUCCUCCACUGCAAGGGGUCCUGACACCCUUCUACAAUCAGCUGCAGAAAGAGAGCGAGCAUGAGUCGGGGGAGAGGGGCAGAGGGAGAG